UUGGAGGGCAAGUCUGGUGCCAGCAGCCGCGGUAAUUCCAGCUCCAAUAGCGUAUAUUAAAGUUGUUGCAGUUAAAAAGCUCGUAGUUGAAUUUCGAGAUCGGCUUACUGGUCGUGCUAUUGUACGUACUGGUAUAAUCGGUUUCUCCUUUCUGACGAACUAUAAUGCCAUUAAUUUGGUGUUUUAGGGAAUCAGGACUGUUACUUUGAAAAAAUUAGAGUGUUUAAAGCAGGCUCACGCUUGAAUACAUUAGCAUGGAAUAACGGAAUAGGACGUUUGAUUCUAUUUUGUUGGUUUCUAGGAUCGACGUAAUGAUUAAUAGGGAUAGUUGGGGGCAUUAGUAUUCAAUUGUCAGAGGUGAAAUUCUUGGAUUUAUUGAAGACUAACUACUGCGAAAGCAUUUGCCAAGGAUGUUUUCAUUAAUCAAGAACGAAAGUUAGGGGAUCGAAGACGAUCAGAUACCGUCGUAGUCUUAACCAUAAACUAUGCCGACUAGGGAUCGGAUGAUGUUAAUUUUUUAAUGACUCAUUCGGCGCCUUACGGGAAAC
rnacentral:rRNA from 1 species